rnacentral:rRNA from 1 species
AGUGAACGCUGGCGGCAGGCCUAACACAUGCAAGUCGAGCGGCAGCGCGUCCGACCACCCUCGGGUGGUCGGAUGGCGGCGAGCGGCGGACGGGUGAGGAAUGCAUCGGAAUCUGCCUCGUUGUGGGGGAUAACGUAGGGAAACUUACGCUAAUACCGCAUACGACCUACGGGUGAAAGUGGGGGACCUUCGGGCCUCACGCGAUGAGAUGAGCCGAUGCCGGAUUAGCUAGUUGGCGGGGUAAAGGCCCACCAAGGCGACGAUCCGUAGCUGGUCUGAGAGGAUGAUCAGCCACACUGGAACUGAGACACGGUCCAGACUCCUACGGGAGGCAGCAGUGGGGAAUAUUGGACAAUGGGGGCAACCCUGAUCCAGCCAUGCCGCGUGUGUGAAGAAGGCCUUCGGUGUAAGCACUUUGUUGGG